rnacentral:rRNA from 1 species
GAUGAACGCCGGCGGUGUGCCUAAUACAUGCAAGUCGUACGCACUGGCCCAACUGAUUGAUGGUGCUUGCACCUGAUUGACGAUGGAUCACCAGUGAGUGGCGGACGGGUGAGUAACACGUAGGUAACCUGCCCCGGAGCGGGGGAUAACAUUUGGAAACUGGUGCUAAUACCGGAUAAUAAAGCAGAUCGCAUGAUCAGCUUUUGAAAGGCGGCGUAAGCUGUCGCUAAGGGAUGGCCCCGCGGUGCAUUAGCUAGUUGGUAAGGUAACGGCUUACCAAGGCGACGAUGCAUAGCCGAGUUGAGAGACUGAUCGGCCACAUUGGGACUGAGACACGGCCCAA